GUGUUUGCUUUGGCAGCACAUAUACUAAAAAAAUUGGAAUGAUAUAGAAAGGAUUAGCAUGGCCUCUGUGCAAGGAUGACAUGCAAAUUCAUGAAGUUUUCCACAUUUUA
rnacentral:snRNA from 1 species